rnacentral:rRNA from 1 species
GGCGAACGGGUGAGAUAAUGCAUCGGAACGUGCCCAAUCGUGGAUAACACAGCGAAAGCUGUGCUAAUACCGCAUACGAUCUAUGGAUGAAAGCGGGGGACCUUCGGGCCUCGCGCGAUUGGAGCGGCCGAUGUUAGAUUAGGUAGUUGGUGGGGUAAAGGCUCACCAAGCCGACGAUCUAUAGCUGGUCUGAGAGGACGACCAGCCACACUGGAACUGAGACACGGUCCAGACUCCUACGGGAGGCAGCAGUGGGGAAUUUUGGACAAUGGGCGCAAGCCUGAUCCAGCAAUACCGCGUGCAGGAAGAAGGCCUUCGGGUUGUAAACUGCUUUUGUACGGAACGAAAAGGCUCUUUCUAAUAAAGAGGGCUCAUGACGGUACCGUAAGAAUAAGCACCGGCUAACUACGUGCCAGCAGCCGCGGUAAUACGUAGGGUGCGAGCGUUAAUCGGAAUUACUGGGCGUAAAGCGUGC